rnacentral:lncRNA from 1 species
GCUGAGGCCUCCCUAGCUGACAGGAUGCCUAGGCAACACUCUGUCUGCAUAGAAAGAGACAAAGGAGAAUGGAAGACACCAAGUGCAAAAAGAACUGUACACUCUACUUGUGUUGUUAAAAAGAUGCAGUUGUUGGGAGCAUUAAGAAGAAUGGAUUUGGAAGGAUGCCUGAAUUGUUCACUGUCAGUAAUUCCUUGGCUUGAUAUUCCCACCACUAUUUUAUGAGAAAGCUGUUAACCACUUUGAUGCUCGGAAGUAUACUACAUGUAUUGUCUCACUUCUAAAGAAUUAGUCAUCGGACGAUAUGCAAUGAGGUGCGUUUCCCUGCGAUGAUUACCACCAUCUGAAAUUUCCUUUCCUGCUGAUUUGGAACAUGCCGCCCCGUCUCCGUGCUUCAAGUUGUU